UUCUGAAGGAGAUCAGCCCUGGGAUUUCUUUGGAAGGAAUGAUGCUAAAGCUGAAACUCCAGUACUUUGGCCACCUCAUGCGAAGAGUUGACUCAUUGGAAAAGACUCUGAUGCUGGGAGGGUUUGGGGGCAGGAGGAGAAGGGGACGAGAGAGGAUGAGAUGUCUGGAUGGCAUCACUGACUCGAUGGACGUGAGUCUGUGUGAACUCCGGGAGUUUGUGAUGGACAGGGAGGCCUGGUGUGCUGCUAUUCAUGGAGUCGCAAAGAGUCGGACAUGACUGAGCGACUGAACUGAACUGAAUACAUUUGGGGAGCAAUAAUUUCAAGUCAAAUAACUGUUUCUUUCUACAUAACUGCUGCUGUCAUGAAUAUACAACUGUGUAUCCUGCUUUGUGGGCUUCCCAGGUGGCUCAUUGGUAAAAGAAUCCGCCUGCAAUGCAGGAGACUGGAGUUCAAGCCCUGGGUUGGGAAGAUCCCUGGAGAAGGAAAUGGCAACCCACUCCAGUACUCUUGCCUGGACAAUCCCAUGGACAGAGGAGCCUGGUGGGCUACAGUCCACAGGGUUGCAAAAGAGUCAGACAUGUCUUAGUGACUAAACAACAACAUCCUGCUUUGUAUCCAUGGUGGAAAAUGCCCCCAUAUUAAUGAAACUUUGCUGAAAUAUUAUCUUAAAGUUUAAGGAGAGUGUGACUCCCACACAUCAGAAAGGCCAGGUUCCCUACACAGCCAGUGCUGGAAGCAAGUGGUUGGGCAAACCCCCAUCUUCUUCUAGAUACAGAACAUCCUUGCUCAUCAUCACAGUCCUGAUCCAGGGUGGGGUGGUGCUGAAGAGAGGGGUCUCAUGGCUUCUAAUCCGAUGCUGAUUACUCAUCUUAUUUUUGCCAUAGUUGAAACAUGACAUUGUUUCUGCUCUCUGCCUUUCUUUCCCACUUGAUGAUUGCCAAGAUACUUUCAUCUCUAAAAUGCUCUGUCUCCAGACUUAGUUCCUUAGUACCAUGGAGCACAGGCUUCCCAGGUGGCUGAGCGGUGAGGAAUCCACCUGCAAUGCAGGAGACCCAGGUUCAAUCCCUGGGUCGGAAGAUCCCCUGGAGAAGGGAAUGGCUACCCACUCCAGUGUUCUUGCCUGGAGAAUCCCAUGGACAGAGGAGGCUGGUGGGCUACAGUCCAGAGGGUUGCAAAGAGUCGGACACGACUGAUGCAACUGAGCGCACACGCACACACCAGGGAGCACAGGCUCUUCUCUCCCUGCCCCUCCUUCCCUCUUCCUUCUUCCGUUUUUGUUCUUUCGAUGCCUUUCUAUUGCAUUGCUUGCUCUCUUUCAGACCCUGAUUUAUUUUUCUCACAUCGCAUUUAUAAUCACCCUGUAAAAUAGGCACUCCUAUUAUUAUCCUCAAGUGAUAGACAAGGCAAGCAAAGUCCAGAGGGGCUGAGGGGUAAGUCGGGGAAGCUGAGCACUGCGCUGUCCUCCAGUGACUCUCCUGGAGACCGGCUGCUUGUGGGAGAACCAGCAGUCAGCCUGCCAGGCCAGUCUGCGGGUCACUCACUCACUCAUGGGCUCCCUGGUCACAGUAGGCCGAGGACAUCCCUGUAUUAAGCCUCAGAAGGAAACGUGUUUCAUGGCAGAGGGUAACUCAGGUCGCAGGUGAAAGUGCUUCCUAAUCAGAGGUCCGUAGCGGAGGCGAUUCCCUGUGAGUCAGGUGGACCCAGUAGAAUCUUUAAGAGAGGAAGCGGGAGGCGAGGAGGAGUUAGUGUCUAGGGUCUACAGCUGGCGUCAGCCUUGCAGGAUAGCGGGGUCAAGAGUCCCAGGGUGCAGGCAGCCUCCAGAAGCUGGAAAAUGUCCAGGGAUGACGGAUUCUCCUCUGGAGGGUCCAGGAAGAAGUCCAGCCCUGCCGACCACCUGACCUUAGGCCCGUGAGCCUCUCCUCGAUUUCUGACCUCCAGAACGUGGCGGGAACGUUGCUUGUAGCCAUCACCUCUUUGAGCAUCUCCAUUGCCCGUGAUCUUCAGAACCUUGCCACUGCCAUCACAUUCCAAGAUGGUACCUCUGGUCUACCUGGAAGACCCUUUCCUCUCCUCUAGAACUGCCGGCACCCCAAGAUCCCAGAGAUCUGUGUGUCCUGGGCCACCUUCUUAGUUCUCGAAGUCUUAACCUCGGGCCUGGUGUCCUUCCAGCAGGAAUGCGGAGCCAUCGCCCAAUGGCAUAUCUACAGUGACUGUGCGUUUUUUAUACAUAAUUUUACUUACUGGCUUAUUGUUUGGCUGUGCUGGAUCUUCACUGGCACACGGGCUUUUCUCUAGUCGUGGAGAGUGGGGGCUACUCUCCAGCUGCCAGGCACAGGCUUCUCCUCGCAGCGCUUCUCUUGCUGUGGAGCAGGGGUUCGGGGGCCUGGGCUUUAGUAGCUGUGGCAUGUGGCCUCAGUAUUUGUGGUUCCUGGGCCCCAGAACUCGGGCUCAGUAUUUGUAGCACAUGGGCUCAGCUGCUCCAUGACAUGUGGGAUCUUCCCGGACCAAGGAUCGAACCCACGUCUCCUGAAGUGGCAGGUGCAUUCUUCACCACUGAGCCACCGGGGAAUCCCUAUGAUGACUAUUCUUCUUAUCCGUGUUAUAGUUCACUCAGGGACUGUGUUAAUACUUGCAUAGAUUAUUUGGUGAUUUCUCGCAAUAACCCCAUCCAUGUCUACUAUGAUCCUCUUUUCCAAGUGAGCGGUGAAAAGGCUGGGAAGGUUUGAGUCAAUCGCUCCAGGGCUACUGUAUGGCAGAGAAGAAUUCAAACCCAGGUCCAGAUCUUGGGCUCCGGACCUCUCUGUUCUAUUGUCCCACCUAAAGAUCCGUGUCAAGGCUCCAGCUUUCUUACAUCAUGCACAAACAUUCAGCAUCCCCCAGGGCCGUUAAAGGCUGGUCAACUCCUUUAGCCUCCGUACUGCAGACCUUGGGGUUCUCAGCACCAUGGGGAGAGCAAGUGAGCAAUCACCUCUCGCCCUCUGGGGCCACACUAUCACUCCUUUGCAAAGAAAAAGAAGUUCGAGUCCUGGAAACAAAAUGGGACCCUCUGAUUUGGAGUCAUAGACUCACUUUCAGGGUGAUAAUCUGUCAGGGUCAAGAGCAAGAAGAAAAGGGAAAAUCAGAGGAAUUAGCAAAUUAGUGUUUUAGGUCUAACUGGAGGUGAGCCAUCAUUUGUGAAUUAAGUUGACAUCACUUAGAUGACUUUACAGGCACGCAGCUCGAUAGUAGACGUUGCCAGUGUUUAUUUGCACAGAUGCAAUGGAGAAAAACAUUUCCGUGGGGUCAUGUUAGCCCAGCUGAUGGACUGAUAAGGGGAGCCGCACCAUCUGUUGACCGCCAAGCCUCGAAGUCCUUUUGGGAUCACCGUCAACCACACUUAGGAUAAUAUGAGAGGAAAUGGAUCAUUUUGGUUUCUCCCUCAUUCAAGCUUUAAUUUAUAUUUUAAACCAAAUAUGGGCCCUGUUCACCACUGGAGCCUCCCUGUAUGUCCCUGUACCUUGCAGACUGUGCUUACUUCCAGGAACACUUGCUGGUUUGAGUUGUUUAUGUCUCCUGAGAGGCUGGGCUUACAUCACAGUCUGUGAUCUCUCAUCUGAUGAAGCAGGCUCCUUGAGGUUCUUUCUGCAAUUGAGCAAAGAGGAAGUAUUAGCAACUGUGUAACAGAGAUGCUGAGAAGCAAUUAGCCCAGAUGCUAAUUUCAUCAGAAAUAGACAUCAAAGCCCUCAUUCCCACCUUCUUUGAAAAUGAGGAAGGGAAUUAUGCAGUGGCUAAGGAAUCCAUGCGAUUGUCCUUGUGCGUAAGCUCCGGUGCCUGUAUCUGUGGGGUGGGCAAGGCAGAGAGGGGUCGGUUCUGGGUUAUCAUGGGAUGCCUCCCCCUGAGCCGACCAAGGAGGGAUUAUAUUGCAGUGGGACCUGGAUUCUCAUCCUUCUUAUUCCUGGAUAUGUGAUGUUAGCCAGUCUCCUGUGCUCUCUGAGUCUCAGCUGGUAUUUGUAAAAUUGGGUCGACAUUACAUGACUGCUCCAAACGUGCCAGUUCCUGCCUGCCUUUGAACACGGGCCUGACAAGGGAACACCGUGCUAGCACUCAGGGACCACAGUGUCACCUAGAGGGACUGAUGGGCAAGAAAAUCUAGUAGAGAGAUGAUUUCGGUGUACCUUAACAGUGUACCUGGGAGGGAGAGAAAGUGGGCUUGUAAGUCUGAAGGAAGAAGUAGAAGAAAGCGAUAAAAAGUGCUUUAUAAACCUUCUCUACAUCUGAAUAAACUUGAAACUUGGAUUCUUUCUGGUUUUAAAGAUGUAUUGGUCAGUAUAGGCUACCUUAUGGUGCAGUAACAAAGACCACACGAUCCAGUGGGUUGACAAAGCAAACAUUUGAUUUUUUUUCUGACCACAUCCAGCUGGUUGCCAAGGGUCGGGCUGGUCCCCGUCCGUUGGAGUCACUCGGAGACCCAGCUCAGUGCAGGCUGUGGGUCGUCAUGGAGUCUGAUCUCCAUGGCAGGAGAUGAGGCUGUCCUCUUAAAAUUUUGGUCUGUGGGACCAUUCUCUCUUCCACUCCCAUGUCAUUGGCCCAAGUGUCACAUGACCGUGUCUGAUUUCAAAGAGGUCAGAGGAAGGCCACUUGCCACGUGCCUGGAAAGUGGAGAGAGAGAAGAAAUUUGGGAAGACCUCUCCUGUCUGCUUCAGAUACGUUC
ensembl:lncRNA